rnacentral:rRNA from 1 species
UACGUAGGGUGCAAGCGUUGUCCGGAAUUGAUUGGGCGUAAAGAGCUCGUAGGCGGUCUGUCGCGUCGGAUGUGAAAAUCCAGGGCUUAACCCUGGGCCUGCAUUCGAUACGGGCAGACUAGAGUUCGGUAGGGGAGACUGGAAUUCCUGGUGUAGCGGUGAAAUGCGCAGAUAUCAGGAGGAACACCGGUGGCGAAGGCGGCUCACUGGCCCGGUACUGACGCUGAGGUGCGAAAGCGUGGGGAGCAAACAGG